UUCGACUACUGGGGUCGUGGGACUGAAGUCACAGUAUCUUCAGUAACAGUUGCAUCACCGACUCUGUUCCCUUUGGUUCAGUGCAACUCUGGGCCUGCAGAUAAAAUCACUGUUGGUUGUCUUGCACGCGACUUCUACCCAAAGAGUCUUACUUUCCAGUGGACCAAUUCCAGUGGGAGCGCCCUGACUUCUGAGAAUUAUCCUCCAGCUGAGAAAAACAACAAAUAUACAGGAGUCAGUUUGGUCCAAGUAUCCAAAUCUGACUGGGAUUCAAGGAAGUCUUUCAAAUGUUCAGUACACUCACCCUGGAGGCCCCAACAUCUGAAAGUGCACAGUAUGUGA